rnacentral:snRNA from 1 species
GUGCUCGCUUUCGCAGCACAUAUACUAAAAUUGGAAAGAUACAGAGAAGAUUAGCAUGGCCCCUGUGCAAGGAUGACACGCAAAUUAAUGAAGCAUUCCAUAUUUUU